GCCUGGCGGGCUCAGUUGGUGGAGCAUGGGACUCUUGAUCUGGGGGUUGUGAGUUCAAGCCCCAUGUUGGGCA
rnacentral:tRNA from 1 species